UUCCUAUUUAUCCUGUAAUAAUGUUGUAUCCUAUCGGUCAAUGAGCAUAUAUUACAGUGUACUUGUCUUUUCUUGGCACAAAUGUAGCAAGAAACAGCGCUGUUGGCAGUGCUGCAUUAACGUCUCAAAGUACCAUACGUAGCUCUAGCCAGCUGUCCGAACACAUGAACAUCUGCCUUACCCUGGUCCACGUAUGUAGUUAUUCUGAUCGCUUUGUACACCUUGGACAUGGGGUCAGUAUCAUACGUUUGGGAAUUUCUUACGUAUGGUAUGUUGGUGUAAUCAUACAUUUUAUAAUGCAACUCUUCUUCAUCAGUAGCAGCUGAAAAGACUCAGUGUCUCAUUGAGAGUAGCAACUGAAGUUUCAUCGACGAGGUUUGUUUAGGUUUCGAAGCUUCAGUUAAUUUGACUCCAAGCAGUACUGAAAUCGUGGGUGGUAUGCAGCCCUGAUGUCAAUCCAUCCUCUGGCCCCCGUUCAGAUGGCGGAGCCGGUGACAACGGUUUUCGACUGAUUACCAGGAAACCCUUCACUGUUGGUCACCAUAUUUGUUCCCCCUGUCAGUGCUAGUAUUAAGAAUGGAGCAAUACACCUUCGAAGAACAGGCAGAUAUGCAUAUGACGUAUGGUGCAGCACGUGGGAAUGGUAGAGCAGCACAGCGGUUGUAUGCAGCACAGUUCCCAUUCCGACGUCACCCACAUUAUUCAACAUUUGCUGCCAUUCACAGACGACUUAGGGAUUCUGGAAGAUUCCGCCCCACCAGGUCCGACGUAGGUAGACCUCGGCAUACUCGUACAGCACGUAAUGAGGAGAAGGUGUUGGAGGCUGUUGCUACUAAUCCUCGGACUAGCACUCGUGCAGUUGCGUAUGAGGUAGGGAUUAGUCAGGCAUCAGUGUGGCGAACGGUACAUGAGCAGCUACUUCAUCCGUACCAUAUUCAGAGGGUGCAGGCAUUAACUCCAGCCGAUUUUCAAAGACGUAGAGAGUUCAGUCAGUGGUACAUAAAUCAAACCUCAGACGAUGGUGCAUUUAGUAGUUUAGUAUUGUUCACUGAUGAAACAACUUUCACUAGGACAGGAAUGUUUAAUACACAUAAUAUGCAUUAUUGGGAUGAGGAGAACCCACACAUCACUUGCGAGAGAGCACAUCAACAAAGGUUUUCUGUUAAUGUGUGGUGUGGAAUCCUUGGAGAUAAUUUAUUAGGUCCUUAUGUACUUCAUGGCCGUUUGACUGGAGAAACUUAUCUGCACUUCUUGGAGAACAUUUUGCCAUGCUUGCUCGAAGAUGUACCCCUAACAACACGAAGAGCAAUAUGGUUUAUGCAUGAUGGAGCCCCUGCUCAUAAUAGUCAUAUUGUUCAAGAUCACUUAAAUCGGACAUUUCAUGGUAGGCUGAUCGCAAAUAGGGGGCCCA